rnacentral:rRNA from 1 species
UACGGAGGGUGCGAGCGUUGAUCGGAAUUACUGGGCGUAAAGCGCGUGUAGGCGGCCUUCUAAGUCUGGUGUGAAAGCCCGGGGCUCAACCCCGGAAGUGCAUUGGAUACUGGGAGGCUGGAGUACCGGAGAGGAGGGUGGAAUUCCUGGUGUAGCGGUGAAAUGCGUAGAUAUCAGGAGGAACACCGGUGGCGAAGGCGGCCCUCUGGACGGAUACUGACGCUGAGACGCGAAAGCGUGGGGAGCAAACAGG